CAAGUCGAACGGCAGCACGGGAGCUUGCUCCUGGUGGCGAAGUGGCGAACGGGUGAGUAAUACAUCGGAACGUACCUGAAUGGGGGAUAACGUAGCGAAAGUUACGCUAAUACCGCAUAUCUGUGAGCAGGAAAGAGGGGGAUCGCAAGACCUUGCGCUCUGGGAGCGGCCGAUGUCGGAUUAGCUAGUUGGUGGGGUAAAGGCCUACCAAGGCGACGAUCCGUAGCGGGUCUGAGAGGAUGAUCCGCCACACUGGGACUGAGACACGGCCCAGACUCCUACGGGAGGCAGCAGUGGGGAAUUUUGGACAAUGGGCGGAAGCCUGAUCCAGCCAUGCCGCGUGAGUGAAGAAGGCCUUCGGGUUGUAAAGCUCUUUCGGCGGGGAAGAAAUUGCACGGGUUAAUACCCUGUGUAGAUGACGGUACCCGAAUAAGAAGCACCGGCUAACUACGUG
rnacentral:rRNA from 1 species